rnacentral:rRNA from 1 species
GACGAGCGCUGGCGGCGUGCUUAACACAUGCAAGUCGAACGGAAAGGCCCUGCUUUUGUGGGGUGCUCGAGUGGCGAACGGGUGAGUAACACGUGAGUAACCUGCCCUUGACUUUGGGAUAACUUCAGGAAACUGGGGCUAAUACCGGAUAGGAGCUCCUGCUGCAUGGUGGGGGUUGGAAAGUUUCGGCGGUUGGGGAUGGACUCGCGGCUUAUCAGCUUGUUGGUGGGGUAGUGGCUUACCAAGGCUUUGACGGGUAGCCGGCCUGAGAGGGUGACCGGCCACAUUGGGACUGAGAUACGGCCCAGACUCCUACGGUAGGCAGCAGGGGGGAAUAUGGCACAAUGGGCGGAAGCCUGAUGAAGCAACGCCGCGUGCGGGAUGACGGCCUUCGGGUUGUAAACCGCUUUCGCCUGUGACGAAGCGUGAGUGACGGUAAUGAGUAAAGAAGCACCGGCUAACUACGUG